rnacentral:rRNA from 1 species
AACGAACGCUGGCGGCAUGCCUAACACAUGCAAGUCGAACGAAGGCUUCGGCCUUAGUGGCGCACGGGUGAGUAACGCGUGGGAAACUGCCUAUUGGUGGGGAAUAACGACGGGAAACUGUCGCUAAUACCGCAUAAGCCCUUCGGGGGAAAGAUUUAUCGCCGAUAGAUGUGCCCGCGUCCGAUUAGCUAGUUGGUGAGGUAAUGGCUCACCAAGGCUACGAUCGGUAGCUGGUCUGAGAGGAUGAUCAGCCACACUGGGACUGAGACA